GCUCCCGUAGUUCAAUGGAUAGAACGAACCGUUCCUAAUGGUUUGAUGUCAGUUCGAUUCUGGCCGGGAGCA
rnacentral:tRNA from 1 species